GCUCCGGUAGCUCAGCCGAACAGAGCGCCGCCCUCCGAAGGCGGAGGUCGCUGGUUUGAAUCCAGCUCGGAGCGCCA
rnacentral:tRNA from 1 species